GACGAACGCUGGCGGCGUGCUUAACACAUGCAAGUCGAACGGAAAGGCCCUGCUUUUGUGGGGUGCUCGAGUGGCGAACGGGUGAGUAACACGUGAGUAACCUGCCCUUGACUUUGGGAUAACUUCAGGAAACUGGGGCUAAUACCGGAUAGGAGCUCCUGCUGCAUGGUGGGGGUUGGAAAGUUUCGGCGGGUGGGGAUGGACUCGCGGCUUAUCAGCUUGUUGGUGGGGUAGUGGCUUACCAAGGCUUUGACGGGUAGCCGGCCUGAGAGGGUGACCGGCCACAUUGGGACUGAGAUACGGCCCAGACUCCUACGGGAGGCAGCAGUGGGGAAUAUUGCACAAUGGGCGGAAGCCUGAUGCAGCAACGCCGCGUGCGGGAUGACGGCCUUCGGGUUGUAAACCGCUUGCGCCUGUGACGAAGCGUGAGUGACGGUAAUGGGUAAAGAAGCACCGGCUAACUACGUG
rnacentral:rRNA from 1 species